GAUCCUCUCCCUGAGCCUUCCCAACACCAGGGGGACACAGUCACUGACUGUGGACAUUCACUGAAAGGAGGGAACCAGGACUCAGAGGACCUGCUUGGUUGAUGGUGAAGUGGAGGUAAGCUGCCUCUGCGAGGAUGGGGCCACGGUCCGCUCAUCUUGACAGAGCCAGUUGAGUACCCUGGGAUGCAGGUGAGUAUUUAUCGGGGGUAGGGGGUGGGAAUGCCCAGGGGCAGACCCAGAUGGUAAAGUGGCUCAGCACAGAAAAAGGCUCUUUCAUGCUGAGGACCUGUGGGCCAUCCCCUCAGAUCUUCACCUGGCACUCCAUUUUGCCAAAACAUCAGAGCAUCGCUAAAUGUGGCAGUGACUGCUUGGUGGUGUGGAACCCCUCACUAGAGGCUCACUGGCAGGUGCAGGUGGGCAGUGGCACCUGCUGAAUGGGAUUUGCUGUUGACAACGCAGACAUGCAGUGGAGGGCUGAGAAACAGAGGUUCCCGAAGGAUAGAGAAAUGGUGCAAAGUCAGGCUGGAGGAUAUGGAGGAACUGUGAUUUGAACCCAGGAACCCUGGAGACAGAAGCCCUCACCCCUGCUGCAUGCUGCCCUGGCCCUUCCAUGACAGGCAGCUCUGCCCACGGAGGCACACACUGUUUUUAAAAAUCUGUUAUUGCAC